GGCAACAAUCGCUCUGCGAUUGCCUCGAGUCGCGGCUCUUGCCGAUUCAUUCAGCCCGAGGAUGAAACCGGUAAUAAAAAACACCGACAACUUAUGUUUCGAGAACUCAUCGGAGCAAAGCUGUUAAUUCAUCCCAUCUUUUGCCUAGAUCGAAUUUUCAGAUUCGGUUCAGAUCUGUAUUCAUGAUUUUCGAUAAUAAUGUGGUUUGUAGAUGAUUUUCGAUAUAUUGUGGAGUGUAGUUGAUUUUUUAUAUUAAUUUUCUCUGAAACCAUUUUAUGCAGAGUGGUAAUUGGCAGUUGACGCAAGGGAUUUGCGUCCUUUCUUCACCUGCGAGUGAUUGGCAUGUAGAAGUUGGGGAGUGGUUGAGACGGCGGCGAUGGAACAAAUCACUCUCACAACUUUCGGAUUCAACACAUGGUCGGUGGAGAAAUAGCCCUUUCUCGAUGGAUAUGCGACUGUAAUGUCGAGAAUCUGG
rnacentral:lncRNA from 1 species